rnacentral:tRNA from 1 species
GGAGCAGUAUCGAAGCGGUCAUAACGAGCACGAUUGGAAAUCGUGUAGGCGUUAAUAGCGUCUCGAGGGUUCGAAUCCCUCCUGCUCCGCCA